rnacentral:lncRNA from 1 species
UUUUUUAUGCUUUUAUAUAAAAAACAUAAGUCAAAUGUGUAUAUAUAUAAAUAGUUAGUUUUCCGAGUUGCCUCCAUACUUUUUCUUUGGUGAACAACCCUCUAACAUGAAGUUUCUUUUGUUUCUUCAAUGGCUCUUAUGCUUGACACUGCUUCUCAUUUACACCGUAUUUGCUACCAAGUAAGUAUUAAGUUGUAUUAUUCAAAUAUUUAAAUGAAAUAGGACUUGUUACUUUAGCUAUUAACCAUAAGAAAAUGUUGAAAUGCUUUUUAACUUAAACCCUAUUAAACCAGUCAUAACUAAAUUGUUGUAUUUCAAACUUAACUGAGAUUGUUUCUUGCAUGUUAAUUCUUUGACAGUGUACCCUCUUUUUCACGACGUAUGGGGGAGUUGAAAACGUGCAAUCCACCAAUACCAGGAAAGGUCAAUGGAUCCUCACAUAUUCCAACAAGGGUAAUGAAUCUGAAUUAAGUUAAUCAUAUUGAAUGUAUUAAAUUUUAACUUGAUUUUAAUUUAUUUUGAUCAAAACAAUGCAACCUAUGUUCGCUAUUAAUGAUUAUAAGUUUUAAGAACAUAUAUAUAAAAUAAAAUAGAAGGUUAUGAAGAAAACUUUCAUGUAAUAGAGUAAAGAAGAUAAUCUUAUCCCUUAAGUUGAGCUCAUUUGAUAAAGGUAGGUAUGAGACUUGAAGUGUGAAAGUGUCUUCAUUAAAAUGCCAGAAAAUAUGUUCAGAUUCUUAUUUUCCAUUCUGUUUUCCCACUUCCCUCUCCUAUGUAAGGUCUUUAGGAACCUUCCCUUAGAUUAAAGAAAAAGAGAGUUUUGUCCUACCCCAUAAAUUAUUAUAUACCUUUUUAGUGAGAGAAAUGGAAAGAUGAAAGCUAAGGAGAGAAAAAUAUGCGUUAUUUUCCUCAUUUGUAUGGUUGGUUAGGAACUUAAAAUAGAAAUAUUUAUAAGCUUGUUUUUAGAAAGACAAAAACUCCCAUAUAAAAAGAAACAGAAGCGUGGAGAUUUUUUUAUCAUUUUACAUAAAGAGUACUGAGUUCUUUUCCUAGUUUCAUUUCACGCUCUCUGUCAUUUUAGAUAGAAUUUGUGUGGAUACUAGUAUCUUUUUCUCUAAAUUAAAAUAAUAAUAGAAAGAUGUCUUUUACUUCUCUCCAGUUAUUUUUUUAUUCAAACUUCUUAAUCCUUAUUACUAAGUCUUGAUUAGAGUUGACUUGUAAAAUGAUUUAUGUCUAUUCAUCUCCUAGUUUAUAAGCUCUUUUAUAUUAUUUUUCAACUAAUUUAUUAGUUUAUUACACAAGUUAGCUUAUCUGGCUACCGUAUUCGAUACCUAGCUAGUUUUUCAAUCUUCAGCCUAACUUUUAAGGAUUGGUAAGCUUUUCAAUCAAAUUUAAUUUAUACGGCCUCUUAUGUGUAAUCUCCAAAGAUACAUGCUUUAAACCUGCUGAGUGGUUGAACAAGGUUAGCUUAUUUUCAAAGACUAUAUAGAUUGGGCACUUAUAUAAAAAUUGUUUAGUCACUGAUAAACUGGUGAAUUAAUCUUAAUAUUGGUAUGGUAUAAUAAUUAUAUCAGUUAUUUAAUUAUACUAGUCAAAAACCAACCAAAACUGGUCAAAAGAGGUCAUACGACUAGUUUUUAAUUUAACCGUAUCAAUCAUACUAGUCAAUUUCAUUUAUUUUUUUUAAUGAAAAUAACUUAUUUUUAUCUAAUGACGAUAUGGGGAUCAAACACAUAACUAAUACAUUUUUAAUCUUCUAAACAUAAUCUAUCAUCAAGUGAUACAUUUUUUGUUUUAACAAAUUGUAUAAUAAAAGUUUUUAUUGUCUUAUUUAUUAAUUUUUCAACAUUAAUCUUAGUAGAAAAUAUAUCUAUAUAUAAUUUCAUAAGUAUGUAGUUUAAUCAGUAAACCACCUGUUAAAUCACUGUUACAAUACCUUGAUUGGUUUGAUAACCGAUAUGAUAUUAAUAAAACAUUAAAAUAGGGUCAUCCAUAAGCAAAUUUCAUAAAAUAUAGCAUAUCAUCGUAUUUCAAGCACGAUAUAUAAGUACAUUUUUUUAAUGAAAACUUUGCUUUUUUUAAAACCUAUAAAGUUUGAUGUACAAAAUACAAGUAACAUUGUUCAAUAAAAUAUACCUUGCUCUUAUCUACACUAACAUUGUAAAAUUAACCACAGGAUUUUGGACGAAUCAGUGAUCAUCCAGUUAGCCCUCCGCCAAAAGUACGAGGGUCCCCUUCAUCAACCCCAUAAAGAAUCAUACAAUACAAAUUGCAGAUUCCUUCUUCCAUG